rnacentral:rRNA from 1 species
CUUAGGACCGUUAUAGUUACGGCCGCCGUUUACUGGGGCUUCAGUUCAGAGCUUCGCUUACGCUAACCCCUCUCCUUAACCUUCCAGCACCGGGCAGGUGUCAGCCCCUAUACUUCGCCUUACGGCUUCGCAGAGACCUGUGUUUUUGGUAAACAGUCGCUUGGGCCUAUUCACUGCGGCUUUCCGUUAAGAAAGCACCCUCUCUCCCGAAGUUACGGGGUCAUUUUGGCGAGUUCCUUAACCAGAGUUCUCUCGCACACCUUAGGAUUCUCUCCUCGCCUACCUGUGUCGGGU